rnacentral:lncRNA from 1 species
UUCUCUCACCGCAGACCUCUCCACAGGACAGUCAGGCACGACCAGACUCCUGAUCUUCUGGGCAUGGAUUCCCCUGCAUCACCAAGAGGAUCAGGGAAGUCUAAGAGAGUUCACCUCCCUCAAGUAACCACAGAGUUCCCGUGGCAUCAGCUCGCGUGUGCCCAUCGGCGGACUCAGCUCACUACGUUCCUGCUCAUCGUCAAGAGAUCCGGCCCUUCUUCCCUUUGAUUUGACUUGACCGUCUUAAUAAUUGUCUGAGUUAAAAAAACAAACAAAAAAUAAAAACAAAAAACAAGAAGUUUUAAA